rnacentral:rRNA from 1 species
UACGUAGGGGGCUAGCGUUGUCCGGAUUUAUUGGGCGUAAAGAGCGUGUAGGCGGCCAGGUAGGUCUGCUGUGAAAACUCGAGGCUCAACCUCGAGACGUCGGCGGAAACCAUCUGGCUAGAGUCCGGAAGAGGAGAGUGGAAUUCCUGGUGUAGCGGUGAAAUGCGCAGAUAUCAGGAAGAACACCGGUGGCGAAGGCGGGUCUCUGGGCAGUAACUGACGCUGAGGAGCGAAAGCGUGGGGAGCGAACAGG